rnacentral:rRNA from 1 species
AUUGAACGCUGGCGGCAUGCUUUACACAUGCAAGUCGAACGGCAGCGCGGGCUUCGGCCUGGCGGCGAGUGGCGAACGGGUGAGUAAUGCAUCGGAACGUGCCCAGUAGUGGGGGAUAGCCCGGCGAAAGCCGGAUUAAUACCGCAUACGACCUGAGGGUGAAAGCGGGGGACCGAAAGGCCUCGCGCUAUUGGAGCGGCCGAUGUCGGAUUAGCUAGUUGGUGGGGUAAAGGCUUACCAAGGCGACGAUCCGUAGCUGGUCUGAGAGGACGACCAGCCACACUGGGACUGAGACACGGCCCAGACUCCUACGGGAGGCAGCAGUGGGGAAUUUUGGACAAUGGGGGCAACCCUGAUCCAGCCAUGCCGCGUGCGGGGAGAAGGCCUUCGGGUUGUAAACCGCUUUUGUUCGGGAAGAAAUCCUCUGGGCUAAUACCCCGGGGGGAUGACGGUACCGGAAGAAUAAGCACCGGCUAACUACGUG